rnacentral:piRNA from 1 species
UAAAGAAAAAUGGAAUCCGCAGAUGAAUGG